rnacentral:rRNA from 1 species
AGACGUCUACAUUAGAUACCCGUGUAGUCCCAGCCGUAAACUAUGCGCGUUAGGUGUAUCGGUGACCACGAGUCACCGAGGUGCCGAAGGGAACCGUGAAACGUGCCGCCUGGGAAGUACGGUCGCAAGGCUGAAACUUAAAGGAAUUGGCGGGGAGCACCACAACGGGUGGAGCCUGCGGUUUAAUUGGACUCAACGCCGGGAAGCUCACCGGAUAAGACAGCGGAAUGAUUGCCGGGCUGAAGACUCUGCAUGACUAGCUG